GCGGAUAUGGUUGAAUGGUAAAAUAUCUCCUUGCCAAGGAGAAGACGCGGGUUCGAUUCCCGCUAUCCGCC
rnacentral:tRNA from 6 species